rnacentral:lncRNA from 1 species
GGGGCCCAGUGCUCCUCUGCUCCUCUUCUUCCUUUUGUCAUGGCCGGGACCCCUUCAGGGACAGCAGCACCACCUUGUGGAGUACAUGGAACGCCGACUAGCUGCCUUAGAGGGCCUUUGCUUGCCUGGGAGUUAUAGCCCUGCAGCCCGCCCCUUCUCUGGUUUCCCCGGCCCGUCAGGAGCGGCUGGCACAGUGCCAGGAUCAGAGCAGUCGGCAUGCUGCUGAGCUUCGGGACUUCAAAAACAAGAUGCUGCCUCUACUGGAGGUGGCAGAGAAGGAGCGGGAAACACUCAGAACCGAGGCAGACAGCAUUUCAGGAAGAGUGGACCGUCUUGAACGGGAAGUAGACUACCUGGAGACACAGAACCCAGCUUUGCCCUGUGUAGAACUGGAUGAG